CCUACGGGCGGCUGCAGUGGGGAAUAUUGGACAAUGGGCGAAAGCCUGAUCCAGCCAUGCCGCGUGUGUGAAGAAGGCCUUCGGGUUGUAAAGCACUUUCAGUGGGGAAGAAAGCCUUGGGGCUAAUACCCUCGAGGAAGGACAUCACCCACAGAAGAAGCACCGGCUAACUCCGUGCCAGCAGCCGCGGUAAUACGGAGGGUGCGAGCGUUAAUCGGAAUUACUGGGCGUAAAGCGCGCGUAGGCGGUCUGAUAAGCCGGUUGUGAAAGCCCCGGGCUCAACCUGGGAACGGCAUCCGGAACUGUCCGGCUAGAGUGCAGGAGAGGAAGGUAGAAUUCCCGGUGUAGCGGUGAAAUGCGUAGAGAUCGGGAGGAAUACCAGUGGCGAAGGCGGCCUUCUGGACUGACACUGACGCUGAGGUGCGAAAGCGUGGGUAGCAAACAGGAUUAGAUACCCCGGUAGUC
rnacentral:rRNA from 1 species